GCCGGAGUAGCCUAAUGGUAGGGCGUCUGCCUGAUGAGCAGAUGGGUUCUGCCAAGUACCCUUGCGGGUUCAAGUCCCGCCUCCGGCG
rnacentral:tRNA from 1 species